CGCCGAAACAAUCAAGAAAAGCCCGACCUUGCGGAGAAACCCGCUCGAUCUUUUCUCCUCGCUUGAAUUCUCCGGAACUCCCAAGAAUCCGGCCGCGUCGAGACCGGACGAGGACGAUGGCCUGCAAACCCAUCGCCAACAGGCUCGGGAAGGAGGCGGGCAUCCACCCCGAGGUUCCGCCGCUUCAUCGUUACCCUCGAUCAGGUAAAAAGCUGAGCUUCCCCGUGUUACCGUCGGAAAAGUAUUGCUGGUGUAGGAGAUGAGCAUGCAGGUCUUCCCGACUGCCCCGUCGCCGACCGUCACGCAUUUGAUGAACCUUGCCGUGCUCAUCGUCGUAAUGGCACUGGCUUUAACCACCAUUGGGCCAACAAAGUAGGAAGGACAGAGAGGAAGAGCGAUGAAAGGUGGGGAUUUCUGCUGCAAAGUGUUUGAAUUUUGAAUGGGGGCCGGGGAACGUAGGGCGGACUAGGAAGUGGUGGUAGGAGAGGCCCCCUCCUCUUUAAUGAGGUGGGGAGCAGCGCCACCACCGCCAGGGGUGCACAGCUCAUGCAUGCUUCACGAAGGCUGAGCAAUGAUGGCCUGCUCCACACACCCGAUGGUGCUCUUUUGGUUUGCCUUGCUUUGGGUGCAAGAAGGAGCGCUAGGAUCAGCCAAUCUCCUUGGGCGUGAGUGUUGGUUGGUUGGUUAAGUGCGGGAGAAGGAUGGUGAUGAUGGGAUCAAGGGAGAUGGGUGGCCUCCUUUGGCUUGCUUAGUAGAAUUAAUUUUCCACCAAGUGAUCAUGAUUGCGUGGUCAUCCAAUCUUGGUGAGACCACUAAGUCCCUUUGGAAACUUGGGAAAGAAAAAAGGGGUGAAGCAACUCUUGGUGGGCUUAGGUAUAUCAAUUGCUUUUUUUAUGUGCAAAAAGUCUUCUGGACUUUUUAUUGCUCGUAUGAGAAGAAAUCCGAGUGGAAGUAUUGAGUACAUACCAUUCAUUUGCAACUAAAACUUCAUUAUAAUUGCAAGUACGAGUGAGUAUACAAAAAAAAAAAUUACGAAGUCGAAAUAUGGUUAAAUUUAAUAUCCCAGAGCAUUAUAGUCAUAUAUAAUGUGUGAUUUUAUUAAGUUUUAUUAUGAUUUUUGA